rnacentral:rRNA from 1 species
GACGAACGCUGGCGGCGUGCUUAACACAUGCAAGUCGAACGGAAAGGCCCUGCUUUUGUGGGGUGCUCGAGUGGCGAAAGGGUGAGUAACACGUGAGUAACCUGCCCUUGACUUUGGGAUAACUUCAGGAAACUGGGGCUAAUACCGGAUAGGAGCUCCUGCUGCAUGGUGGGGGGUGGAAAGUUUCGGCGGCUGGGGAUGGACUCGCGGCUUAUCCGCUUGUGGGGGGGGUAGUGGCUUACCAAGGCUUUGACGGGUAGCCGGCCUGAGAGGGUGACCGGCCACAUUGGGACUGAGAUACGGCCCAGACUCCUACGGGAGGCAGCGGUGGGGAAUAUUGCACAAUGGGCGGAAGCCUGAUGCAGCAACGCCGCGUGCGGGAUGACGGCCUUCGGGUUGUAAACCGCUUUCGCCUGUGACGAAGCGUGGGUGACGGUAAUGGGUAAAGAAGCACCGGCUAACUACGUG